UUCUGUAUUGAAAGAUCCCACGCAGAGAGACCCUUACUCAAGUCUUGGGAAAUCGCGGACCCCAGACACAGAGAGACCA
rnacentral:pre_miRNA from 14 species